UAUAAUAUUUAAUAUUUUUAUUUCGUUGUAUUUAAAAAUUUUAUAUUAUAUUAAAUUUAUAUCAUUUGAUAUAUAUUUUAUUGUUUAUUCAACUUUUAAGGCGAAAAUUCACUAUUAAAUCAUGCCUAGUUGUAUUUUUGUUAUCGGUCAUUGAAUGAUAAAAGUAGAAAAGAUAAUAUUACUUUUCAUCGAGUAACAAAUGAUGAAGAAAGUAUAUCUACCUGGUGGGAAUUUGGUGAAAGAGAAUAUAAUCUUCAAUCAAAUAGUAUUAAAAAAAGUAGCCGAGUGUGUUCUACACUCAUAAUUGUGUGCAACUUGGGGCCAUGUAAAGGUCCUGUUAUAGAUUUCAACAGUAGCUUGGCAUAUCAUGUGGUGACCUUUCUGUGUGAGAGUACCGACAGCUGAAAACGGACACCGUGUUUGACAGUACAACGUUCAUCGUUCCAUUCGCACCCAUCGUUUGGCGAAAGUCGGGCAUUGACACUGUCUGUACGAUUACAGUUUUAUGUGGACAAAACGUCAUCAAGCCUAACAAAAAGGUACCUAACAAUAUCGAAAUGCUGUGAUUGGCGUUUGUAGCAGCUACGAGAUGUAACACAGACCGUGUCGGUUUUGAAGAUGGGAAGCUGCCACUGGACUGAUAAUAUUAUCCUUCCCGACGAGAUAGUAAAUUGUGUUAAUACUCAAAGUCUCAAACAUUAACAACUACAAUAUAAGCUAUUCGUGGUUGGAGUAUGGCAGUAGUACACACCUAGUAAUACAUAGUAUUAUACCGAAAUAUAUAAAAUUAUACCAUCAGAUAAAAGAGUCCAAUACUUUGUGUAACAACAUAAUAUACCGAAGGUUAAGUAAUUAAAUGUUAUAUUAAUGAUUAUAGACCAAAAUAAUUGUGCAAAAGUACUAAUUUAUACAUUUUAUAUGCAAUAUUGUACAAAAUAAAACAUUCAUUAAAUUAAUCUACUUCUCUUGAUUUGGAUAUUUAAUUGUUUCUAUAGGAAAUUUUUUUUAAAAAC